GACGAACGCUGGCGGCGUGCUUAACACAUGCAAGUCGAACGGAAAGGCCCUGCUUUUGUGGGGUGCUCGAGUGGCGAACGGGUGAGUAACACGUGAGUAACCUGCCCUUGACUUUGGGAUAACUUCAGGAAACUGGGGCUAAUACCGGAUAGGAGCUCCUGCUGCAUGGUGGGGGUUGGAAAGUUUCGGCGGUUGGGGAUGGACUCGCGGCUUAUCAGCUUGUUGGUGGGGUAGUGGCUUACCAAGGCUUUGACGGGUAGCCGGCCUGAGAGGGUGACCGGCCACAUGGGGACUGAGAUACGGCCCAGACUCCUACGGGAGGCAGCAGUGGGGAAUAUUGCACAAUGGGCGGAGGCCUGAUGCAGCAACGCCGCGUGCGGGAUGACGGCCUUCGGGUUGUAAACCGCUUUCGCCUGUGACGAAGCGUGAGUGACGGUAAUGGGUAAAGAAGCACCGGCUAACUACGUG
rnacentral:rRNA from 1 species